rnacentral:rRNA from 1 species
UACCAGCACCCCGAGUGGUCGGGACGUUUAUUGGGCCUAAAGCAUCCGUAGCCGGUUCUACAAGUCUUCCGUUAAAUCCAACUGCUUAACAGGUGGGCUGCGGAAGAUACUAUAGAGCUAGGAGGCGGGAGAGGCAAGCGGUACUCGAUGGGUAGGGGUAAAAUCCGUUGAUCCAUUGAAGACCACCAGUGGCGAAGGCGGCUUGCCAGAACGCGCUCGACGGUGAGGGAUGAAAGCUGGGGGAGCCAAAGCCGG